UGCAAGUCGGACGGGAUUUGGGAGCUUGCUCCUAAUGAGAGUGGCGCACGGGUGCGUAACACGUAUGUAACCUACCUUCAUCAGGGGGAUAGCCUCUCGAAAGAGAGAUUAACACCGCAUAACAUCAUAGAGCAGCAUUGCUUAGUGAUCAAAUAUUUAUAGGAUGAAGAUGGGCAUGCGGGACAUUAGCUAGAUGGUGAGGUAACGGCUCACCAUGGCGACGAUGUCUAGGGGAUCUGAGAGGAUGAUCAGCCACGCUGGGACUGAGACACGGCCCAGACUCCUACGGGAGGCAGCAGUGGGGAAUAUUGGACAAUGGGCGAAAGCCUGAUCCAGCAAUGCCGCGUGAGUGAUGAAGGCCUUAGGGUUGUAAAGCUCUUUUACCAGGGAUGAUAAUGACAGUACCUGGAGAAUAAGCUCCGGCUAACUCYGUGCCAGCAGCCGCGGUAAUAC
rnacentral:rRNA from 1 species